rnacentral:rRNA from 1 species
GACCUUAGCUGCCAGCAUUCAGUUGGGCACUCUAAGGUGACUGCCGGCUAAAAGUCGGAGGAAGGUGGGGAUGACGUCAAAUCAUCAUGCCCCUUAUGACCUGGGCUACACACGUGCUACAAUGGGCGGUACAAAGGGUCGCGAACCCGCGAGGGGGAGCCAAUCCCAAAAAGCCGCUCUCAGUUCGGAUUGCAGGCUGCAACUCGCCUGCAUGAAGCCGGAAUCGCUAGUAAUCGCGGAUCAGCAUGCCCGCGGUCGAAUACGUUCCCGGGCCUU